rnacentral:misc_RNA from 1 species
AUACUUUCUUCUAUGACUGAGAAAUCCCAAGUCCAAACAACAUUAACAGUACUCUAAAACAGCACUUGCUAUAAUUUGAAAGUACAUAUCGGAACACAACAAAAUUGCAAUCUUUCAAUAUCAGGAAGACGAAAGCACUCUUAAAGCUUGGAAAUAACAAAAUAGAAUGUAGCAGGAGACAGGUAGCAAGAUGUAAUUGACUUGCAUCAUGCUGUUUAAUACUGACUAUUCAUCUAUGCUUCGGAAACUUGAACAUCCCUCACUUCAAUUUUAAGAGGGAUGUCCAAGUUUCCGAAGCAUAGAU